GCUUUAAACCGGAAGCGGAAGCUCCGUGUUCCUCAUAGUUUGAAUGGCUUGUGAAUGAGUAGUCGAGUGUUUGAGUGAGUGAGUGAGUGCGUGAAUGAUGUGUGACUGUGUCGUGUCUGUGUUUAUUUUAAAAACCUACACACUGAUCUUAUUUGAUCCGGUCUGAGGUGGCUCUGCUCUGACCGGAGAUGAUAGGAAACGCGCUCGCGAGCCUUCGUGGCGAUGUGCAGCCGGCAGAAACUUUCAGGGCCUCCACGCUCCGUGCCGUGGUUAGAGGUGAUGAAUUGAUCAGAUAUACUAGCUCUGUGAGAGUUUGAGUUCAUCUCAAGCUUCGCAGUGGUCAAUGAGUACAGAGGCGAUUCUGAUCUAA
ensembl:scaRNA small Cajal body-specific RNA 2